rfam:Oryza nivara chromosome 7, whole genome shotgun sequence.
UUUAAGCACAACAAUAACUUUUCCCAUCCAAUUUUAAUUUUCUGUUUUAUUUUAAUUUUUUAUGGUUAAUAUUUUAUUGUUGUUAGAUGAUGAAACAUGAAUAGUACUUUAUGUGUAACUUAUGUUUUUUUAGUUUUUUUUUAAAAAAUAAAUAAGGCGGACGAUUAAAGUUGAAUACGAAAAUUCAUAGCUACGUUUAAA